GGGGGGGGGGCUCCGGCGCCUCCGCCCGGGGGGUCGGAAGCGGCCGCGCUUCGGCUCUCCGCUCGUCUCCGGCCGGGGCAGAGACCUCGCCCUCCUCUCUCGGCAGAGACCCCUCUCCUCCCCCCCCUCCCCCCCUUCGGCUUUCUCAUGCUCCGGCUGCACUUUGGCCUCCCCUCGGUAGUCCCCCCUCCUCUCCCCUCCCCCCUCCUUCCCCACCGCUGCCCCGUCCCGCCUGAGCGGGGCCGCCCUGUAUGAUAGAAAACCCGGUAUCGGCGUCCCGUUUUUAUGAUCGUUUUUCAUGUCCGACGGAGUUCGCUCCUCUCUUCUGUGUUCCCUCGAUAUCCAGCCAGAUUCCGUUUCCCCGGUUGACGACGAAGGCGGAUGGAUCGGUUCCUCGGGCAUCUGGUCCGGGGCGGGUCGAACGCCGGUCUCGAUUCUCUUCCGGCCCGGUGCCAAGGGUUCCCCGAGUACGACGGGGCAGCCCGCGGAAGGGAAGUUCGCCCUUCCCGCUCAAGAGGGAAGGGGGCCGGAGGGUGGUGCCGCGUCUCCUAGGCUUUGGGGGAAAUCCUCGCGUUUACACUCUUCCGCGUUUAGCGAGAGCCUCUGUCCGAACGUGUAAGGACCUGCACUUUUCGAAGGGGGGCAAGAAACGAAGAAUCGGCAACGUUUUCUCUGUACACGAACGUGCCUGCUUUCGGUGAUGAUUUCUUAACUGUAAAAGCUUUCGAGUCUAUGGUGAACAUGUUUGGUACGUUUAUCGCAGUUUCCAAGUAUCGAUCGCUUCCUUUAGAAAACUAAUCGAGAUGUUAUUGGAGUAUAUUAAUUAAAGGGGAGUCAAGAUGUCAUAUAUACAUUCCUUUUUGUACACGGGUCCUGUAUUUUUAAAAGCCAAAGCAGGGCUUCUUUGGGCUUUACACCGGUGAAAAGCGGAAGCCUAUUUUGGACGACUGCAGUCAUGAUUUCUCUUGUAAAAUGAUUUUACCGUUAUGAUCCACUUCUCUGGUAAUCUUGAAUAACACAGACUUUGAUUUAAAAAUAUAUCCUUUACCUAGCCUUAAGUGAUAUGCUGUUCACGGUUCGAAAUGCACAAAGUUGCCGGGAGGGAAAGGGGCGGGGGGUGGAAGAACUCCGAAAAAAAUCGAAUUACUACCGAACUCUUUUUUAAUUUUCAUCCCAUCAGAAUGUCUCCGGAGGGGAGGGAUUAGUAAUACUGCAGCAAGACCAAACUCAGCAGUCUCAAGGGUCGGGGGCCCGACCCUCUUUAAGCAGAUGAUAAGCUCGAGAUCAACGAAAGAGGAGGCCCUCGACCAUUUUGAGUAGCCAAACGGUUCUUUCCCUUUUGGAACCUGCCAGGAAAUACCGAGCCCCGCGGCGGGAAGCAGCUCUGUAGGAGGGUGCGUGGGGCCUCUUCCUUCGAAGGGGGAAGAGGAGUUCCCACCCAUCCCAACCCUAAACGUGACUAAGGCCCGGGGUAGAGAGAAGAGCCAGAGAAGGAGGGAGACCAAGCUGACUUUAUGCGAUUGAGCUACACAUGGCUCCCCUGAAGGGGAAGGGAGGCGAGUGAACCGAAGGUUGGUUAUGCCGUCGUGAAGGUUGGCUUUUCCCUCAGCGGGAACCUGCACCGUGAGAGUCGGUGGGUGGAGGGCGGGGGGUGCAGGGUACCCCGGCUCCCAUCCGGACCGAAGCGCUGGCUCUGUCCUGUGUGACCGAGGGCUGAGAAUCGCACUGAGGAGAGUAGUUUUAGGACAUAAAUAUUCCUAUUUCCAUUUUUUAGAACUUGCUAGAGUGAUGUGGGAUAACAAAAUUUAUUUUUUAAAGGCUGAUAUAGGAAUCAUGAUCCAAGCGAUUCUGAAACUUCAAUCGUUCCAAAGAUCAGUGCUCAGGGAAAUAAAUGGAAAGAAAAGAAAGCUACCUAUUUUUUCUCAUUUGGUUAGAAUUCUACCACUAAAUUUCUAAAAAAAAAAAAAUUUUACCUCAUAGCACUUUUUUCAUGUUUACUCAGAUCUGUUGUCUCUGUUUUCAGUUUCCUAUGCAGAAUGGAUAUUUUAUGCCGAGUGGUUAAUAACGCCAAUAUUUUUUGCCUUUCCUCAACUGGAACGUUUUCUGCCACCCUGCCGAAAGGUUACUGCGGUGAUGGAAAAGACCCCAGAAAGAUAUCGAGCGGGGGUUAGCAGUUGUAUGUCAUCCCACCCAUUCUUUUAAAAUCGGUAUUAAACUUUUAUUUCCAAAGAAAUCGGUGGUCUUAGAACUCACCGCUCAGUGGUCUGGAUUGUUCUUUUCAAACGAAGAGUUGAACGGUAUAGAAGGUCGGGCGGACAGUGACCCGAUAAGUCACGCACUUUCAAAGAUAACUGAGCUAGAUUUCCCCACUCCCCAGUUUACUUCCUUGGGAUACCACAGAGGGGCAGAGAGUGGAACAGUGGAUCACCUUCCCAUGGCUAACACAGGCCUGUGGCUCAGCAUUUCAACCACCAGGUGAAAGCCUCCCCCAUUUUGAAGGGUGGAUAAAUUCAAUCCUGCAAAUUCAGAUGGGACAGAGGCCUGUCACCAUACACAAAUCUCCAACGGAUCAGAGGAAAUCAAAUCUCCCCCCCCCCCCCGCAAAAAAAAUACUUGAAUUUAUAGGCCCUUCAAAAUAGGUGAGAAUUGAGCCAAGAAGCCAACAAAUAUGGAAUACAAGAAGAUGCACGAGCAGGGUGUUGGGAGUCAUUUUUCAUUAUUUGGGCGGGAGGGGGGGAACAUUACUGCAUUUACUGAGCCAUAAUGUUAGAGUGUGUUUUGACUGAACCCUGCCAACGUGAACAGCUUGGUGGAAUGAGAAUUAAAAUAUCAAUUAGAGUAACUGAAGUUCUCACAAUCUUUCCCCUCUGGUGAGUCCCUAACUGUUGUUCAACUUGAGUGGUUCCCAAACUGCUUGCCUGGGCACACCUGACGUGCUAGAGAAGCUCUGCUCUACAGCACCAAUUAGCAAGCGAAAACAAACAAUCCAACAAUUUUCAGUGAAAUUGUGAUAUGCACUGCUUUUCAAAGUCCUCUGUCGAUGUAUGUAAGGCCAUUUUCUUCCCCUCUGUCAGAACUCAUCGUAGCUCCUGAGCUAGCUUCCUUCUUCAAGUCUGUCACCUUUCCAAAGAAAAUCGUAAGAAUCCCCUUCUGUGUAAUGGCAGCCAGCAGUGCAGUCAGAGUUGGUUUUGAGUUUAAAGCUUUUUAGCUCCUGAUUCAGUAAGACUGUGUCUCCUCCAUGUAAGAGACAGAUACAGACUAGUGUAUUUAGGCAAGGGCGUCUGCGUGUUUAAUUCCAUGUGCCUCACAGGUGUGCACACACACACACGCACUCUCUCUCUCAUAUAUACACACAUACACCCCUCCCACACAGACACACACACAUACACACUAAUUCAAGGCAGAAAAUCCACCUUGAGGUCAAAAGUUUUCAGAUUUAUCCAGAAUUCUCCAAUGAAAAACUCUGUUAGAAAAUUUUGUCUUUGCUUUGGGCAGUGUAGAUGUAACCCAAUUAAGACCCCAGAAAGGUCAGGAUAGAUCUCAUUCGUUUCUAAAUAUUGAUUAUCUUUUUAACCGGACACUUUAUUUUUUUUUUCUGGUACAAUUCUUUACUCGAGGUUUGAUUUUGAAAAUGUCUGUGAACAAUCAGAAACCUAGUUUGUUUCCAUAGGUGGAAUACAUCUGAAUCGAUAACAGUAAUCUUUUUUUUUUU